AUUAUACCGUGAAACUGCGAAUGGCUCAUUAAAUCAGUUAUCGUUUAUUUGAUAAUACCUUACUACUUGGAUAACCGUGGUAAUUCUAGAGCUAAUACAUGCUGAAAAUCCCGACUUCGGAAGGGAUGUGUUUAUUAGAUAAAAAACCAAUGCCCUUCGGGGCUCCUUGGUGAUUCAUAAUAACUUUACGGAUCGCAUAGCCUUGCGCUGGCGACGGUUCAUUCAAAUUUCUGCCCUAUCAACUUUCGAUGGUAAGGUAUUGGCUUACCAUGGUUUCAACGGGUAACGGGGAAUUAGGGUUCGAUUCCGGAGAGGGAGCCUGAGAAACGGCUACCACAUCCAAGGAAGGCAGCAGGCGCGCAAAUUACCCAAUCCCGAUUCGGGGAGGUAGUGACAAUAAAUACUGAUACAGGGCUCUUUUGGGUCUUGUAAUUGGAAUGAGUACAAUUUAAACCUCUUAACGAGGAACAAUUGGAGGGCAAGUCUGGUGCCAGCAGCCGCGGUAAUUCCAGCUCCAAUAGCGUAUAUUAAAGUUGUUGCAGUUAAAAAGCUCGUAGUUGAAACUUGGGUCUGGCUGGCGGGUCCGCCUCACCGCGUGCACUCGUCCGGCCGGGCCUUCCUUCUGAAGAACCUCAUGCCCUUUACUGGGCGUGUUGGGGAAUCAGGACUUUUACUUUGAAAAAAUUAGAGUGUUCAAAGCAGGCCUUUGCUCGAAUACGUUAGCAUGGAAUAAUAAAAUAGGGCGUGCGUUUCUAUUUUGUUGGUUUCUAGAGACGCCGCAAUGAUUAACAGGAACAGUCGGGGGCAUCAGUAUUCAGUUGUCAGAGGUGAAAUUCUUGGAUUUACUGAAGACUAACUACUGCGAAAGCAUUUGCCAAGGAUGUUUUCAUUAAUCAGUGAACGAAAGUUAGGGGAUCGAAGACGAUCAGAUACCGUCGUAGUCUUAACCGUAAACUAUGCCGACUAGGGAUCGGGCGAUGUUCUUUUUCUGACUCGCUCGGCACCUUACGAGAAAUCAAAGUUUUUGGGUUCUGGGGGGAUUAUGGUCGCAAGGCUGAAACUUAAAGAAAUUGACGGAAGGUCACCACCAGGCGUGGAGCCUGCGGCUUAAUUUGACUCAACACGGGGAAACUCACCAGGUUCAGAUGAAAUAAGGAUUGACAGAUUGAGAGCUCUUUCUUGAUUUUUCAGGUGGUGGUGCAUGGCCGUUCUUAGUUCGUGGGGUGACUUGUCUGCUUAAUUGCGAUAACGAGCGAGACCUUACUCUGCUAAAUAGCCAGGCUAGCUUUGGCUGGUCGCCGGCUUCUUAGAGAGACUAUCAACUCAAGUUGAUGGAAGUUUGAGGCAAUAACAGGUCUGUGAUGCCCUUAGAUAUUCUGGGCCGCACGCGCGCUACACUGACAGAGCCAACGAGUUCUUUCCCUUGGCCGAAAGGUCUGGGUAAUCUUGUUAAACUCUGUCGUGCUGGGGAUAAAGCAUUGCAAUUAUUGCUUUUCAACGAGGAAUGCCUAGUAAGCGCGUGUCAUCAGCAUGCGUUGAUUACGUCCCUGACCUUUGUACACACCGCCCGUCGCUACUACCGAUUGAAUGGCUCAGUGAGGCCUUCGGACUGGCUCGGGGAGGUUGGCAACGACCACCCCAAGCCGGAAAGUUGGUCAAACUCGGUCAU
rnacentral:rRNA from 1 species